rnacentral:rRNA from 1 species
AGAGUUUGAUCAUGGCUCAGAAUGAACGCUGGCGGCAUGCCUAACACAUGCAAGUCGAACGAAGGCUUCGGCCUUAGUGGCGCACGGGUGCGUAACGCGUGGGAAUCUGCCCUCAGGUUCGGAAUAACAGCGAGAAAUUGCUGCUAAUACCGGAUGAUAUCGCGAGAUCAAAGAUUUAUCGCCUGAGGAUGAGCCCGCGUAGGAUUAGCUAGUUGGUGUGGUAAAGGCGCACCAAGGCGACGAUCCUUAGCUGGUCUGAGAGGAUGAUCAGCCACACUGGGACUGAGACACGGCCCAGACUCCUACGGGAGGCAGCAGUGGGGAAUAUUGGACAAUGGGCGAAAGCCUGAUCCAGCAAUGCCGCGUGAGUGAUGAAGGCCUUAGGGUUGUAAAGCUCUUUUACCCGGGAUGAUAAUGACAGUACCGGGAGAAUAAGCUCCGGCUAACUCCGUGCCAGCCGCCGCGGUAAUUC